UACGUAGGGGGCAAGCGUUGUCCGGAUUUACUGGGCGUAAAGAGCGUGUAGGCGGCCAAGCAGGUCCGUUGUGAAAACUGGAGGCUUAACCUCCAGACGUCGACGGAAACCGCACGGCUAGAGUCCGGAAGAGGAGAGUGGAAUUCCUGGUGUAGCGGUGAAAUGCGCAGAUAUCAGGAAGAACACCAAUGGCGAAGGCAGCUCUCUGGGACGGUACUGACGCUGAGACGCGAAAGCGUGGGGAGCGAACAGG
rnacentral:rRNA from 1 species